UGUGUGGUGGCUGUGGGAAGUCCGUGUAGCGGCCGCUAAUCCCGGGCCGGGGACAGAGUAUGUGAGGUUAACAAAUGAUGGACAACAUCACUAGUACCUGAGGCAGGCGAACGAACCAGUCUGGAUUGUGUAUCCCCAGGCAGGCGACCGAACCAUGUAGUAGAGCUCAAUUUCUCCGACACUUCGGCGAUCGCACCCAGUCAGCGCAUGCACAGAUUCCAGCACAAAACAGCAACGACCUUCAGAAAAAGUGAAAAGCUGGCAUGGAUUUCUUCCAAAUCGCCACACUCUCCCUCCCUGGAGAAAACAACCUAUGGUUGUUGAAAUAUUAAUCAUAUUUAAAAUCCAAUGAAUUCCUCAUCAUCAGACGAUUCAUUGAAUAUUUGGCAGAGUCUUUUCUUCUCCUGGCUUUCCAGCUCUUCAGCCGUGGGAAAGCAUGGUUUCAGGUUGCACACAUGCACUAUGCGAACAUCUUCGCCAGUGGACUCUAGCGCUACUCGAUAAUUCAAUGGACCCAUCUGCUUUAUGACACGGUAGGGGCCUUUCCAUUUCUGAGCCAAUUUUGCAGUGAAGUGAUGUUGUGCACUAGACUGGGGAAAAGUCCUCAUCCACACACGAUCCUUUUCCUUGUAUGUAACCUCUCGUCUUUUUUUAUUAUAAUUCCGAAGCUGUCUCUUUUGUGCUUUUUUGCAGCAUUCCAUGGCCUUGGUCUGAAGCUCAGUUAGAUGGUGGACUGUAUCGUAAGAUAGACAAUCUGGAGUUAUAUUCUUGCCAUGUAACAACUUGUCCAUGGGACUUUGCAGUUUCCUUCCCAAAUGAAGCUCUGCAGGGGUCAUCCCAAUCGUUUCCUGGACAGCUGAAUUAAUAGCGAAACGGAGUUCAGAAUGAAGUCCGGUACCCCCCAACGGGUUAGAAUUUCCUUCCGAAGAAGUAAUGCAACAGUCUGAG